UCUGGUGACAAUACCGGAGGGGUACCACCCGUUCCCAUCCCGAACACGGAAGUUAAGACCUCCAGGGGCGACGAUACUUUACGGGAAAAUAGCAGGUUGCCAGGU
rfam:Syntrophobotulus glycolicus DSM 8271, complete genome.